rnacentral:lncRNA from 1 species
GAGAUCUGCGGGGAAACGCGUAGCUCGGCGCGAGAGGUUGGCAAGGCUCAUGGCGAGGAGAUCAAGCUGGAGGUUGGCGCGGAGCUCGGCCGGCCGAGCUCGUCGCGGCGAGGAGGGUGGAAGUUGCAGAGCGCAUCGAGGACGGGAAGGGCUGGUGGGCGAGGGGGAGAGCGAUGCGGGGAUCGUGGGAGGGUGGGCGUCGGUGGAGGACUGGAGAGAGCGUGCAUCGGACGGGGGAGGAGCUCCACGGCAUAUUGGACGAUCGAGAUAGCUAGAUGGCAGAACGGCAGAACAGAUAGAGGCAGACUACUCUUACAUACUUAAUAUCAACUUUUUGACAAAAAACACAGUCCAAUUACCAAAUCUUAUUCAACCAAAUUUCAAGUAAUCAAUUUGAUCAUCCUUUAAUGCCACUACUUUUAAUUUUAAAAAUACAGAUGACUGUUGGACGCCGACAUCGACCACAAUCUGCAAGCUGAAUUGCCAUAGGUUAUUGGCCAACUCAACAUCUGAAAAUAUAGCAAGAUUUGUUUAGUUCAAUCGAGUUGUGUAGUCUAGCAUAGAUUGUGGUUGAACUAUUCCUUUUAGAAUACUGCAACAUUGUAUUAAGUAAAUCCACACCCAAACUUUGUUUAACAUUAUUGUGGAUCUAACUGAGCCCUCUGGGUUUUGUCCAUUUUCAAAUCAAAUAUAUUUAUGAUUGAGUGAUUGACACUUGGUGGGAUAGAGAAGUGAACCAUUUAUAGGUUAAAAAAUCAUACAAUUCUAUUAUCAGAUGAACGCAGAUAAGGGAAAAGAAUGAUUGCGACAAAAAAGAGACAAGCAUCAAUAUAAUAGUUCAUAACUUUAUCCAAUUAAGUAUGGAAGUUUUGUGAUCAGUAAGCCCCAUUAGAGCUUAGCAAAAACUUGAUGGAAAAAUUGAUUGUAAACAAAUAGGUCAUAUCACCAUUCAAGAAACUUACUUGAUUUGUCAAAGUCGCAGCAGUAUGAGCUCCAACUUCAACAGCUUGUGCUACAACCUACAAGAAAAUGAUUCAUUUGAAGUCCAUUAUGGAAAAGCUAGAGAAGUUUAUUAUUCCUUUCUUCUCUUUUAUGGAGGCUACCCGAGUAUAUGGAUAUGUGGAAUCAUUUGUGCUAUUUAAGAAAUAGCGGAAUUCUGCUUGAUGGUUAAAAAAGGAAAGAGAAAGGUGUAUGCUAGUCACGCACCAUUUUUUAACACUUAAUUGCUUGGUCAGUUUGGUGAUAUAAUGUAUCUCAUAGCUGUCAUAUGAAUUUGAUUUACCAAUAUGCUAUUUACUCAACAUUUAUCUGGAUGAAGCACUCUCUCUAAAAGUUUACAUUCUCAAUUGUGUGCAGGAAACAUGUAUGUUUUUUUUCAUGAGUUAUUAGCCAUCCUCAUGUUUUAGGAUUUAGGGUAAUCACUCCAUUUGGUUCUAUUUUGCAGAUGUUUCUAGAUGUCUAGCAUUACACAUUUUAGUUUGAUCUAGAAUGUUAUGUCUCAUGCUGAUAACGUGCACUGAUCAACAUCCAUGUUCUACAGAAUAUAUAAGAGGAUCCACCUAUUACUCCAUUAGUACAUAUAUUACUCCAUUAGUACACACAAUUACAUGUUAUGAACCCUAAUAGUUGUAAUGUAUGUUCAUCAUUUUAUUGAACCGUAGUGGACAGGCCAGACAGAACUGGUUGAAGAAUGUGUAAUGAACCUGCGGCAUUAAGGAUCCCUGUUAAGGUCCUAUUUGAUUCAGUUGUUGCUUAUUCCAUGGAUGAAAUUGACAUGGUAUUUGUUGCUGUAUAAAAUUCAAUCAACAAUAUCAUACCUUAAAUAAUUAUUGGUGUGUGAAUUGAGAUAUUCAUUUGAGUACUAACCUGUCUUUUUUUGUCUCGUUAAGGUACGACCAAGGUGCUGAUACCCUAUCUUCCGUACCAUGUGCGUGCUUGCUCACUUGUGAAGUAUCUUGGUCAGGAGGACUUAGGAGCACGCUUUUUCCCUUCAACAUCACUUGUGCUCAUGUCAACAGUAUUUUACGAGCAACAACAUAUUUACUGCCACCGGUGUCUGCCAAGCAUGGUGUUCAACUGUUCAUACUGCAGUUGAGCAGGGUAGCACUAUGUAUGAAUCUUCUUUUAGAAUGCAGAAAACACUGCUUACCAAAGCAUUUCUUCCCUCGUCUUUAUGUAAUCCAACCAUCCUUUCGCACAGGCAGCAGAUUUGGUUGCUGUUCGUCGGACGUCAAGCACCCCAGCAGGGUGUCACAACUGUUGGACGCCGACAUCGACGCGGAGGAGGAUGCAGACGCGGACGAUAGCGGCGUCGAUAAGGACGUCGAGCAUGGGUGCGAGAGCCUGAUAACCUCCCAUGCCGCCGUAGGUGGCUGUUUAUUCCUGUAGAUGCCCUUGGCUCACUCAGGCGUGGCCGCUGGCCAGGCGCAGAGGGAGAUGGGCGGUGCUCUCUGCCUCCGUCGCCACUUCGCCACGCCCCCAACAAUAUGGGAGUCAGAGCUAGGGUUUCGGCUAGGAGGCCGCGGCGGGGGCCGAGCUCCCUGGGGAAGUCGUGAGGCGAGAAACGGAUGCAAACAGAGAUCAAAGGGUGAAGGUUUAGGGUUUGAUUGAUGGAUGUGGUUGGGGAAGGGAUGGGGCGGGAGAUGCUCACCUCUGCAGACACAACACGCCGGCGCUGGGGCCACGCGAUUGCGCGCCAGUGCGUCGAUAGGUUGGCCCACGGGGUUGGAGCUGGGGCGGGACGGGAGGGGUUGGAGGGCGCCCACCUCUGCAGCCACGGCACGCCGGUGCAUUGGGAGGCGUGCUCGAGGGAGCAGGCACGAGGUGCACCGGGGGAGGCGACAUUAGGUGCGGUGAUAAAGAGGAGAGGGAGAGGAGCGGUGGCGAGGGCGGUUCCGUGGAGGACGCACUGCACAGCUUGAGCCCGUGGCAGUCGGACGGUGCACAGCUUGAGCCCGUGGCAGUCAGUCGGUGGAGGUUGGCGCGGAGCUCGGCCGGCCGAGCUCGUCGCGGCGAGGAGGGUGGAAGUUGCAGAGCGCAUCGAGGACGGGAAGGGCUGGUGGGCGAGGGGGAGAGCGAUGCGGGGAUCGUGGGAGGGUGGGCGUCGG